AAGUGAUGCUGACAGUUUUAUUUGCCCCACGGUUAGUUUACAUUUUUUAAUAUUUGUUCAAUAAGCAAUUUAAGCACCUGGGGACUUCCCUCAGAUAGCCCUCCAGGUUUGUGACACAUGAGACAGCCCUGAAAAGUGUCAGUAAAAAGCGUCAAGCAAGCUUUCCCCAAGUGUUGGCGAGUUCUGUGACAAAAUGGCGGCACUACAUUAGCACACACCUGCUUAUGAACGAGCCGACGCAGUUCCCACCACCAGAGGAGCUCCACCUCGAGGGAGGAAUUGUGAAAGAAGAAAACUGCUGAAGAAGUUGCAGUGAACUUAAGUCAAAGAAGCCUGUAAAUCACUUAAAGACCCACCAACGUUGGAACAUCAGCGCUCGCGCUGUUGCUCUGACAACUGAAACAGAACCCAUGGGUCCAUGUGCCACCGCAUUGUGAAUAAAGCAUGAUCAGCAGUAAACAGGGUCCGUCCAUUAA